UCCCUGGUGGUGCAGCGAUUAACACUCCACCUUUCCAGGGCAGGGGACCCAGGUUCGAUUCCUGGUCAGGAAA
rnacentral:tRNA from 1 species